ensembl:lncRNA
CUCUCUCUCUCUCUCUCUCUCUCUCUCUCUCAGAUGGAUGGUCUGGCAUCCUUAGGAUGAAUUCUUAAUUAAAUAUUUCAGCAGUGUUUUAGCUAAACGGCAGUCUAUACGUAAAACCUGAGUAAUACUCUAGUCAAUCGUAUCUGACAAAAUAAAAACUUUAAAAAAACAAACAAAACAAAGAUCCAAAAUAAAGUAUGUUAUUAAGGUGUUUGGGCCACCGAAAGCCACCAGAACAGCAUCAAUGUGCCUUCUACAAGUCUCUGGAACCGUUCUCUAAAGAUUUUCCUUCAGCUGGUGUUUUGAUUAUGGAAGUGAAGAAUGCCGUUGCUGUCACUGUGUGAGCUAUAGUGAGAGUAAAGACCAUAGCAUACGAUUUACAUCAUUUUCAUCCUCAUCAAAUCAUUCAGUGAACCCUCAUAGUCUGUGCACGAGGCUGGAGUCAUCCUGGAAGAGACCACACACAUCAGGAUAGAAAUGUUUUAUAAUAGGAUGAACAAUCUAUAUAGCAACAGCAUGGAUUACAAUCCUGUACAAAGUGCAGUAUUACAAGUCAAGCCAAAUCAUGCCAUAAUAAACAAAUACAUAAAUAAAAAAUUACAUGAAAGCCCCCCACCGUCCACAUAUAACAUUAUACAAGUCAAGCCAAAUCAUGCCAUAAUAAACAAACACAUAAAUAAAAAAUUACAUGAAAGCCCCCCACCGUCCACAUAUAACAUUAUACAAGGCAAGCCAAAUCAUGCCAUAAUAAAUAAACACAUAAAUAAAUAAAUAAAUAAAUAAAUAAAUCCCCCCCAACAUCUGCACUCCUUAGCAUUCUCAACCAAUUUAUUUGUUUAUUAAUUUUCUAAACUAUUUAAUAAUUUAGCACAGUAAAAAAAAACUAGACACAACUUUCACUCUGUCCUAAAACUAAAAGUUAGUACACUGAAAACUGAAUCUAAAGUAUAUUAAAAAAAAGUAACCGCAAAAUAUCUCUUUAAAAAGCCUUUUUUUUUUAACGCUG